rnacentral:rRNA from 1 species
CCAAAAGCUGGCGACCGGCGCACGGGUGAGUAACACGUAUCCAACCUGCCUCAUACUCGGGGAUAGCCUUUCGAAAGAAAGAUUAAUAUCCGAUAGCAUAUAUUUCCCGCAUGGGUUUUAUAUUAAAGAAAUUCGGUAUGAGAUGGGGAUGCGUUCCAUUAGUUUGUUGGGGGGGCAACGGCCCACCAAGACUACGAUGGAUAGGGGUUCUGAGAGGAAGGUCCCCCACAUUGGAACUGAGACACGGUCCAA